AAAGUACUCCCUCCGUCCCAAAAUUCUUGUCUUAGUCUUGUCUAGAUACGGAUGUAUCUAAUACUAAAAUGUGACUUGAUACAUCCGUAUCUAGACAAAUCUAAGACAAGAAAUUUGGGAUAGAGGGAGUAGUUG
rfam:Triticum urartu cultivar G1812 contig588584, whole genome shotgun sequence.